UGGGGAAUUUUGCACAAUGGGGGAAACCCUGAUGCAGCGACGCCGCGUGAUUUAGAAGGCCUUCGGGUUGUAAAAAUCUUUUUUAUGGGAUGAAAAUGACAGUACCAUAAGAAUAAGGUCCGGCUAAAUACGUGCCAGCAGCCGCGGUAAUACGUAUGGACCGAGCGUUGUCCGGAAUCAUUGGGCGUAAAGGGUACGUAGGCGGCCCAGUAAGUUAGAAGUGAAAUAAUAUAGCUCAACUAUAUAAAGCUUUUAAAACUGCUAGGCUUGAGAGAUGGAAGGGAAAGGGGAAUUCCUAGUGUAGCGGUGAAAUGCGCAGAUAUUAGGAAGAAUACCGGUGGCGAAGGCGACUUUCUGGGCAUCAUCUGACGCUGAGGUACGAAAGCGUGGGUAGCAAACAGG
rnacentral:rRNA from 1 species